UAUCAAAAAGAAUGCAUUGGAUGGAUGCCUAGGCAUUGAGAAGGACGGACGCUUUCAAAGGCGAAACGCCGUGGGGAGAUAUCGUCUGUGAUCCAUGGGUCUCCGAUCGGGAAACCGUAUCCAGGCAAAAGCGGCGCAUUAGUGCGCUGCGCCUCGGACUUUCAUAACUUAGCGAACUGAAACAUCUAAGUAGCUAAAGGAAGGGAAAUCAACCGAGACUCCGUUAGUAGCGGCGAGCGAAAGCGGAUUAGGCUUCUCCUUCCAUUCAAUUUGCUGAGAAUUGAAUGAUGGAAGAACCAUUAAAGGAAUUGUGAAAAAGAUUGGAAGAUCUUGCCAAAGAAGGCGAUAGCCCUGUAACACAUUUUUCCAUUGGUUUUAUCAAAUUAAGUAAAACGCGGAUACCGUGUUCGAAUUUUGAUCGCUUCUACGCGACCAAGGGGGACCACCCUCUAAGCCUAAGUAUUCCUCAAUGACCGAUAGCGUACAAGUACCGUGAGGGAAAGGUGAAAAGAACCCUAGGAAAGGGAGUGAAAUAGAAAACCUGAAAUCCGAUGCAAACAAUCAGUCGAAGGAAGCUGGCUAAGUAUAGAAAACUUUCCACUCUAACGGCGUACCUUUUGCAUAAUGGGUCGGCGAGUAAAUGGAAACAGCGAGCUUGAGCCAUUAGGUGUAGGCGCAAUGAGGUUGAAUAUUCUAGUUGUUUCUAUUCGACCCGAAAAAAAUCGAGCUAUCCAUGAGCAGGUCGAAGGGGGCCUAAUCGGGCCUUGGAGGACCGAACCCACGCCUGUGGCAAAAGGCGGGGAUGACUUGUGGAUAGGGGUGAAAGGCCGUGCGACUUGAAGGACAUUAGACAAUGCAAAUGGCCCUGUGGGUGGAGCAACGCCUCUCCCUAGGUCCUCCGCCGGACCUUGGGCCUCAGGGCUACUGCCAUCCUAGCCGACGGGGUGCUCCUACUUCACCAUGCCCUCCCGGUAACGGGUAGGUAUGAAGCGUGGAGAACAAUGCAAGGAGUGUAUGUUACAGCAUAUAACCUGCUAGGAGUAACAAGACUACAGAUCAACGCAAGUGAACUGUGCGACGACACUUCGUAAAUAACCCGAGCGGGCCUACAGUUUGGCCCCGGGAUGUGAUUUGGGGCACGAUGGGCCUUUGCGUGCCUCGAUCGGCAAAAGAUCACUGGAGUAUAGCACAGGAUCGUGAAAUCUUGUAAUUAAUAGAGUCGACAUGUCAACAAGGUAAACCCAACGGGCUCCCUUUCGGUCGGGAGGUUUGGUUGUGAGAUUAGAUACCGCCCAGUGGGCAGAAGACGAUACAAAAGGCGAGAGGGUGUCACAGGAGGUUGAAUAGGCAACAUAUGCCGACACCCAGUGCUAACUUGUAUCGUGGGUGACAAAACCCAUGGGGAACGCUGGAACCGAAAGUUCUGGGCAACACAGGUUGCCUAGGCCUGUACUUCCCCUUUGUCAUUUGAGCCGUAUGCGGGGAAACUUGCACGUGCGGUUCUUAGGGGGGGAAAGACACAAAAGUCCUACCUAUCCAACUAAUCAGGAUUUUAUAUAGCUGGUACUCCGCGAAAUCUAUUGAGGUAGAGCGUAUCGAAGUAAAUGGCCUGAGGUAGAGCACUCGAUGGGCUAGGGUGGCCCAAAGCUUGACCAACCCCAAGGAAACUCCGAAUGCAGGCCAUUGAGUUUGUACAGACAGACUUUGGGCGCUAAGGUCCAAAGUCGAGAGGGAAACAGCCCAGAUCGUACGCUAAGGUCCUUAAGCAAUCACUUAGUGGAAAAGGAAGUUGUUGAGCGAUGACAACCAGGAGGUGGGCUUGGAAGCAGCCAUCCUUUGAAGAAAGCGUAAUAGCUCACUGGUCUAGCUCAAUUGCACCGAAAAUGUAUCGGGGCUCAAGUGAUUCACCGAAGCGACGAGACCUUGAAAGCAUGCAUCCUUGCGAAGGAAGCUUUUUCAAGUGUCGGUAGCGGAGCGUUCUGUAAAUCGUCGAAGGUUGCUGAUAACAACAACUGGAGAUAUCCGAAGUGAUUAUGCUGACAUGAGUAACAAUGAAUCAUGUGAAAAACAUGAUCGCCGAAAGUUCAAGGGUUUCUGCGUUCAGUCAAUCUACGCAGAGUGAAUCGGUCCCUAAGGAACCCCCGAAAGGGCUUAGUUCGAUGGGUACACGAAAGUGACGAAGUUGCUUUGACUAUUGAACAAAAAAAAUGGAUUUUUUGCGUGUUUGUUAAACUCGUGAAUUGGAUGAUUGGGCAGGCCAAAGGACUUCCAAGAAAGAACUUCGUGA
rnacentral:rRNA from 1 species